rnacentral:rRNA from 1 species
UAGGGAAUCUUCCACAAUGGACGCAAGUCUGAUGGAGCAACGCCGCGUGAGUGAAGAAGGUUUUCGGAUCGUAAAGCUCUGUUGUUGGUGAAGAAGGAUAGAGGUAGUAACUGGCCUUUAUUUGACGGUAAUCAACCAGAAAGUCACGGCUAACUACGUGCCAGCAGCCUCGGUAAUACGUAGGUGGCAAGCGUUGUCCGGAUUUAUUGGGCGUAAAGCGAGCGCAGGCGGAAGAAUAAGUCUGAUGUGAAAGCCCUCGGCUUAACCGAGGAACUGCAUCGGAAACUGUUUUUCUUGAGUGCAGAAGAGGAGAGUGGAAUUCCAUGUGUAGCGGUGGAAUGCGUAGAUAUAUGGAAGAACACCAGUGGCGAAGGCGACUCUCUGGUCUGCAACUGACGCUGAGGCUCGAAAGCAUGGGUAGCGAACAGG